rnacentral:lncRNA from 1 species
UAGGAACAGAUUUGAUAAAUACUAAUAACUCUCGGAUAGAGUAUUAGAAUGGAAAGAUCCAUUAGAUAAUGAACUAUUGGUUCUAAGCCAUCUCUAAUGAUUAAUCAACAAUUCGAAGUGCUUUUCUUGUGUAUUCUUGAUAAAACAAUAUUUAUAUAUAGAUAUAGGAGGAUCUGUUUGGGAAGUAAUAAGCCCCUUUGACAUCUCUUCAUCCGCAAAUAAUUCUCGAUGUAAAAACACAGAGCCAGGGGGCUGUUAUUUGAAUAGGAAAAAAAGUGGAUCUGCAGGGUCCCAAAUAAAUUGGCUUAUUCAAAAAAGGCCUUGUUCUUUGAAAGAUCUAUCUCUUGUCUGGUACUGCAUGGUUCCACUCUGCAAGAAUCCUGAACAUUCUCUUGAAGCUCAUCCUCUUCAUCAUAAAUGAUCCAGUUGUCCCGAAAUGACCUAGACCAAUAGGGAAAUCCCAAUUCAUUGGUCCUUUUGAUACAAUCAAAUUGAAAUCCCUAAGGGCUCCAUAUUCUAGGAGCCCAAACUAUGUGAUUGAAUAAAUCAUCCUGCGGGUCAAGAGAUCCUUCUACCUCCCCUUCUUCAAACUCCGUUUCAUAGAGAAAUCUAUGAUCAAGGAUAGACCAAGAGCUCUUUUGCAUUAUAUCUAAGGGAUUCCUCAGUUCGGGCCAAAGAAGCAAUGUCACUCGAUUAUUAUCAAACUGACUGCAAUCUUUUUCUGUCCGUGAAGAUCCCACCAGAGCGCCUUCUACUUCUAAUAGGCCAUGAACUAGAUCAGAAUCAUUCUCAACGAGUCUAUAAAAAGUGAUCCUAUUUUUUUUGUCGGGUCCAGAUAAAGACCAAAGAUCUUGAACGAUCGAUCCGGCAGAACAACUUAAAAGAUAAAGAAGUAUCGUUAAUCUCUUCAUGUUUGUUCCAAGCUCGAAGUACCAUUUGUACAAAUAAGAAUCCCCUUCGUUACAUGAUAUCUUCUUCAUCUAGAUAGAUAUAGGAUCUAUGGGGCAAUUAGUUAGAAGUACAUUUUGUGCUACAACCCUUCCUAUCUGAUAGAAAAGGAUCCCAUGAUCCUGAACCGAUCUUACCUGGGAUCGCAAAUCCCAAGUUUGUCUAUGAAGAGCGGAUCUAAUUGUAUUAGAGUUUAUAAUUGAUUUCUUCUGUGUAAUACUAAUCGAUAGGACCUCAUUGGUAAGUUCUACAAGAUCUCGUGCAUUGGAACCCAUUGUUAUAGACCCAAAUCCAUUAGUAUGGAACAGUUUCUUUUCUAAGUGAAAUCCCUAGUAUAUGAAAGAGUGAAAAAGUGCUUUCGUUGUUGUGGAAUAAGAAGCAAACGUCACUUAAUGCACGUAUUUAAUUUAUUUGGAGCUAUUAGAGCGGGAUCUACUUUUUGGGGAAUAUGAGUCGAAGCAAGAGCAAGAAUAUUUCUAGAACAACAUCUUUCACAAUCCCUGGAGAUAUGGUUCACUAAUAGACCGAGCGAUAAGUCAUUCGACUCAUUCACAUCCAGAUCAUGAAUGUUUGGAAUCCAUAUUAUGCAAGGAUACAUUGCUUUUGCUAAUUCGAAUUGAAGGGUGAUAUAAAAUCGGUCUAUUUCUGGCAUCACAUCCACAGUUAGCCCAUUCAUCCUAGUUAGCAGUUCCAGCUCAGUAUCAAGGUCACGAUCGAUAUUGUCACUAGCAUCAAUUUUGUCACUAGCAUCAAGAUUGUCACUAUCAUCAAUAUCAUCACUAUCAUCAAUAUCGAUCUCAUCAAGAAGAAAACCUUUAGGCUUGUUAUACAGGAAAUUGUGCAGAAAUACCGUAAUGAAAGGAACAUAGGAGUUUGUCGUUAGGUAUUUGACCAAAUAGGAUCGUCUAGUUCCUAUAGAACCUAUCACUAAAAUACCCCUAAAGAGGGAUAAGGCUAAGCAGAGCGAAAAGGGUUUUCCAUGAGAUGGGAAAUGAAAACUACUUUCCCCACACGAAGUUUAUGAAUAAGUGAUUGUCUGAUAAUGAGCAAGGAAUAUCCGUCUGUCUGCUAAACAGGAUGGAUUGAACUCAUAAUUCAUUAAAUUCUUUUUAUGAAUGUCAACUAAGUAUCGUAAGUAAAUUGCUCCCGGUUGUUCAAUCAUUUGAUAACCAAAGUCAUUCUUUGAUAAAUGAUCACUAUGAGUCAGACUUAAUAGAAUUUGAUCAAUUCUAUUUUCUGUCAUUAAGGUGGAGAAUUGAACCAAGAAUUCUCUUUCUUUAUCAUGAAUCAAAUCACUGUUCGCGACCCAGGAUUCUAUUUUCACAUCAAUCCAAUCCCCGUUCGCAUUUUUUCUUUUUCUUAUCAAUGAAUAGAUCUCUUUACUUGUAUGACUUAGAUGUCUCAUAUUUCUCAAAAAAGUGAUUCGACUGAUGGGAUUUGGUAUGAGAUCGAUGAUCUCGAUGAGAUUGAUAUUCCAAUCUUUCUUCUUAGAACGUAUUGAUUUGACCCCAUAAGCGGGACCAAGCAUGUUGCCGCCAGAAGCAGAACCCCAUAUUUCUUCUAGAGAAUCUCCUAAUUGUUCCAGAGCAACUAGAAAGAGAUUCUUUAACCAGAAAGAAUUUGGGUCAGAUGUAGGAUACCUAUCCAGAAGUUUUCGCAACUCAAUCAUAGAUGAUGGAAUCAUUAAAGAUUUGACCCUUUCGAACUCUGUCUGUAACUUACCAGAGGCCCGAGAAACAAAGAGAAGAUGUGUACGAACAAGAUAUCGAGCAACAAGAAGAAGGAAAAGGAUCGAAUAGAGCAACUCCCGAGCAUUUGGCGAUCUCAGAUAUGUCGAUAUCAAUGGUGACUCAUUAUUUCAAUGAAUCAUUUCUUCGGACAGAAGAAGAUUAUGUAAACACUUACUUGAGAUCUCACUUAUCAGAUUCCAUUGUGGAAGACAUAAUUUUUUCUGAAGAAUUCACCAUGAUAUACCUGAUCCAUGCAUAAUAUCGGGAAAAGUGGAUACAAAUUUUUGACCGCGACUUAGCAUUGGCAAUAGGUCUGAAAAAGUAUCUAAAAAUAUCAAAUUUAGAUAUUUGUACCAUGUCGAAGUAAGGAACUAUGGCAUAUAUGUUUAAAAUAGAUUCCAUUUUGAGAGAGUUAAAAAAGCACUAUCUCGUUGAAAGGUUCUAUACAUCUGCCCUUUCUCAAUGUAUUUCUUUAGACAAAGACUCUGUUUUAUCCUCUUUUCGGAUGAUAAAUCUUUCUCAGAACAUGGAGUGUGAAUCAAACCUAUAUUUGAAUUAAAAUUAAGAUACUGAUGCAAGUUCUUCCCUUCUGAAUCAGAUAGAUUCAUACCUGAAAGAGGUUGACAAUAAGUUCUUUCAAAAUUGACUAUUUUCCCCUCUGUUAGAGGUGUUCCAGAUAUGUCUGUGAUCGACUAAAUAGCUCUACAAAUGAAUGGAUUAGAUCAACUUGGAAAAUGGAAAGAUUUGUACAAGUUAUACGUUUCGUCACCACUUUGUGGAAAAUCGUUAGGUAUGAAUAUGUUAGAUACCUGUGACUCGAUUGGUGAAAUAGUAUCCCUUCCCCAAAAAGUAUGUUUUUUUUACCGACGCAUAAAGAAAAUAUUUUGUUACGAAUGAACAAAAUAUUGACGAAUUGUCCAUACGUAAAAUUAGAAUUAUUGAUACGAGUAUUUUCCAUAGAAAAGGGGAAUCUUGUGUUCCAAUAGAAGCAGAAGUGUUGGGGAUUAUUCAAGAAUCGAAGUCGAUUUGCUUUAUAAAAAAAAGAUAUCAAUGAACUUCUAUGAAAUGGUUUCACGAGAUUCAGCCAAUUGUCUUGAUCAUGGAAUAUCAUUGAGAAAUAGGAAUCCGGGUUAUUAAAGGAUUUUCUGCAAUUAUUUCUAGUAUGGAAUGAGUCAAUCAUACACUUUGGUAUCUUAUUGAACAAAAAUGGUGAUAUUGUUCCUCCAUUGAUCAAGAAUUUCGAUUUUUGGGAAGUAUCAUGAUCGUCCAAUAAGAAAGGUUUCAUUUUUUGGAAAUGAACAACUUGAAGACAUAUUGAUUCUAAUAACUGAUUGCAGAGUUGAUCAUUCGGACCUUUCAAUUCAUAGAUGUAGAUCUCAGACCUAGUAAUGGGGAUAUUUCCUAAAAUAACACAGAAAAAAGGAAGUGCGUAAGACAAAAAUAAAAGCAACUUGGACAAAAAAAGAGGUGACUUGGACAAAAAGAAACGAAGUAGCUUAGACAAAUAUUUUUUGUCGAUAACCUCAGACAAAUCAAUCGAAUAUCGAUUAAUACGUAAUUGAUCGAACACUACUUGAAAAUGGCUCUUCUGCUCCAUAAUGGACUGUUCCAAAUGUUCCUGGAAAUUCUUGCUCCCAUUGGACCAUUUGUAUCUAUAUGCAUCAGGAUCCCAAUUCAUGGGUCUCUCGGUUUAAGAAAUCAAAAUAAGAGGCUCGAACCAUUUCUUCUAACUCUUUUUCAAAUUCGAUAAAUAUUGGUUGAUCGUAUAUUUCAUUAUAGUUCUAUGAUUUAGAGUAUCCUUUCCUAUUUGAUCCCUUUGAAUUCCAUAUUCGAAGUUGCGAUCAGAUCUAUUCAUUAAAAAGAAUCGAUUCAAUACAUUUCUUAUGUACCCAUAGGUACUAUAUUGGAUUUGAAUCAGAUUUUGGAUUAAUCUAUAUUGAGUGACUGCCUCCAUUAUGUUGUUGCUAGCAAAUACCACUAUAUUUGGUUUUGGAUCUUUCAAAUCAUUCCCGCAAGAGAUCCGAACCUAUUUUUUUCUGAUCCUUCGAGAAAAAGAUUCAUUCUCUUCAUAAAAAAUAGGAGGUAAAACCAAUAAAGAUUUCUUUUUCGAUUCAUCCCUGGUCUCAUUCAAGAAUUGUUUCUGAUCUAAUCUACAGGAAUAAAUAGAAAAGGCAAUUCCCAUAUGAUACACCAGAUCCGGCUCGGUUAUUGAUAAAGUGAAUAGAUUUGCUAUUUCUUGAAAUCUCUUUUUUGAUUCAAAAUCGCAGUGUAACGUGUAUCCUUCCCUGUUCCGGUUAUGGAAUAAAUGAAAUAAAUCAAAAAAUAGAUUUUUGUUCAAGAAUGAAAUCUUAUUGGAACUGUCCAUAUCUGGUUCAUCCUUCGGAACCAUAUCACAUCCCAAAUCUGAUGAAAUAGGAUGAAUUAAGAUGGUAUUUUGUAAAUACAUAAUUAUCUUGAAUAUAUUAACCAUUUCUUUAUUUUUUGAUCGCCUGGAAGGGACAAAAGAAAGGUCUUGUUGUUUCUUCAACAAUUUCUGAUCUCUAGUGCACCGCUCAGUAGGAUUCGAACUGAGAUGAAGUUCUUACCAUAUAUCAGAGAAAAAAGAACGAACGAAUCUUGUAGGAUUCCCAAGAAAUUCUUUAAUUUCUUCCAGAAAUAGAUGAUUAAUCAUCUGCUUCUCAUAUUCCGUGAAUAGCUGGGACAUUCAGGAAUAUCCAGAAAGGCAUUUCGGGAAUCAGCCUGAUUCUAUAUCUUUUUGUUCCAUUUGAAGAAAGGAAGGAUCCUAAAGAAUCGAUCUUUAUGUUCAUUGUUGAAUCUCUCUUUGAUUAAUCAAUGUAUGAUAUUCCGAAUCCUCAUUACUAAUGGAAUCCAAAUGAUCUCUGGAUUGAUCAGAAGAUCCUUUCAGUUGGCUAGAAUUCGUUACUUGAAUGAAACUAGAUCUUGUGGAAUCAUAUUGAAUAUUUGAUGAUACAUUCUAUACCUUGCUAAAAAACCGAUCCUUGUUUACCAACCACACAUUGUCUAACCAAAUCCAAUUCUCUCUCGAUACGGUCCUAAAAAAAUUCAAUUCGGGCGCAUUCUUCCCCUAACUAAUGAAGAGAUCUUGGCGGAAUUGCCAUAUAUGAAAUUGAGCACAGGUUUGCAAAGAAAUAGCCCACUUGUUUCUGGAGAAGAGAUGGGAAAUAUGCUCAAUAUCAUUUGAUUGAACAGUUGACCCAGCCCCUUGUUGUUUGAAGAAACCCUCCACUUCAAUUGGUAUUUUUUCACAAAAAGCAGACAUGAGAUAAGAAAUCCAGUGUUACACUAUGAUUUUGAAUAGUGGUCCUGAAAUUGAAGUUGAUUCUAUUUUGACUCUUCCUCAGAUAAAGAUGAUCAAACAAUUCCCAAUCAUGGUCCUUGCAGAUCGGAUAAUCCAUAUAAGAUACAAAAAGAAACUCCAGAUAUUUGAGAUCUUUCUCUUUGAAUAAGAUCUCAAUUCCAGCGACGGUUUCAUUAGAUAUCAUACAACUAGAAUCCCUCUUUUUUCUGAUCCAGUUCCUCCACCAAUGCGAACGCCAGUUAGAUUCAGGCAUGCUACACUUUUUAGUUAUUGGGAGAUCCCAAGUACUCUCUUCCGAAUUCAGGAAACAACUCUCAGAGAUCUUUUUUCCUUUGGGAAGAUACAGGAGCUAAACAGUCAACCUAUUGAUAUUGGAAGACCCAAUGGAUUCUUCCAAUGUAUCAUUUUUGGGUCCAAUGGAAUUCAUAGGUAUAGGAAGAAGCCCUAUCAAAUAGAGAUUUUUUCUUUCGACCACAUUUCGAUUAUUAAUACGAUAUAUAAGGACCACUGCUACAAAGAGUAUUACACCCUUGAUCGUGAAAUAUCAAUUGUUUGUUGAAUCCUAUGAAUUGCGUGAAAGCAGGAUACUCCAAAUUUGGGGAUCAAAGAGUUUUAGAAAAUUUUCUUGGUGGAAAAAAAUGUGAAUGAGGGAUCCCACUGAAUUGAAUUGGGUCCAUGAAUCUAAGAAAUGGUGAGAAUUCUUGAUCUCUCUCAAUAUCUCUCUCAAUUCAAAAAUCCAGGAUUUGAAUUGAUGUCCUCUCAUUGAUUCCUCCUAAAUUACAUUACAUUGAUUCCUCCUAAAUUGCAUUGAUUUAUCCUAAAGAUUUCAUCAUUGAUUUAUCCUAAAGAUUUCAUUUCAAUUGGAGUUUGGUUAUUCACCAUGUACGAGGAUCCCCGCUAAGCAUCCAUGGCUGAAUGGUUAAAGCGCCCAACUCAUAAUUGGCGAAUUCGUAGGUUCAAUUCCUACUGGAUGCACGCGAAUGGGACCCUCCAAUAAGUCUAUUGGAAUUGGCUCUGUAUCAAUGGAAUCGCAUCAUCCAUACAUAACGAAUUGAUGUGGUAUAUUCAUAUCAUAAUAUAUGAAUACAUAACAAAUUGAUGUGGUAUAUUCAUAUCAUAAUAUAUGAAUACAUAACGAAUUGAUGUGGUAUAUUCAUAUCAGAAUAUAUGAAUACUUAAUGAAUUGAUGUGGUAUAUUCAUACAAUAAUACAUGAAUACAUAACGAAUUGAUUUGGAAUUGCCUCUGUAUCAAUGGAAUCGCAUCAUCUAUACAUAACGAAUUGAUGUGGUAUAUUCAUAUCAUAAUAUAUGAAUACAUAACGAAUUGAUGUGGUAUAUUCAUAUCAUAAUAUAUGAACAGUAAGAACUAGUAUUCUUAUUGAGACUAUAACUCAUAGGGAAGAAAAUCGAUUUAUGGAUGGAAUCAAAUAUGCAGUAUUUACAGACAAAAGUAUUCGGUUAUUGGGGAAAAAUCAAUAUACUUCUAAUGUCGAAUCAGGAUCAACUAGGACAGAAAUAAAACAUUGGGUCGAACUCUUCUUUGGUGUCAAGGUAAUAGCUAUGAAAUAUAUACAUAUAUAAGAUGUCGGGAUAGGGUAAAGGUCAUGAACAUGAGAUUUUUAAAAAUAUUAACCUAGAUUAUGUAGCUUGAUCCAUCCUAAAGGCACCCAUGUGCUACAUGGGUUCAAAUCCCCCUAAGUUAUUCUAUUCCACCUCUUAGAAUGAAAAGAACUUAAAUAAAAAUAAUUAAUAGCAUGGCGAUACAUUUAUACAAAACUUCUACCCCGAGCAUACGCAAUGGAACCAUAGACAGUCAAGUGAAGUCCAAUCCAUGGAAUAAUUUGAUCUAUGGACAACGUCGUUGUAGUAAAGGUCAUAAUGCCAGAGGAAUUAUUACCGCAAGGCAUAGAGGGGGAGGUCAUAAGCAUCUAUACCGUAAAAUCAAUUUUCGACGGAAUGAAAAAGACAUAUAUGGUAGAAUCAUAACCAUAGAAUAUGACCCUAAUCGAAAUACAUACAUUUGUCUCAUACACUAUGGGGAUGGUAAGAAGAGAUAUAUUUUACAUCCCAGAGGGGCUAUAAUUGGAGAUACCAUUAUUUCUGGUACAGAAGUUCCUAUAAAAAUGGGAAAUGCUCUACCUUAGAGUGCGGUUUGAACUAUUGAUUUACGUAAUUGGAAAUAACCAAUUAGGUUUACAACGAAAUCUAGAAAUUGAUCACUGAUCCAAUAUGAGUACCUCUACAAGAUAGACCUCAAUAGAAAACUGAAGAGUAACGGCAGUAAGUGAUUGAGUUCAGUAGUUCGUCAUAUAAAAUUAUUGAAUCUAGAGAUAUAGUAAUAUGGAGAAGACAAAAUUAUUUCAAGCACUGACAGAACCGGAAGCGCCCCUUCUUUCAAAGAGAGGAGGACGGGUUAUUCACAUUUCAUUUGAUGGUCAGAGGUGAAUUGAAAGUUAAGCAGUGGGAAUUCUAAAGAUUCCCCGGGGGAAAAAUAGAGAUGUCUCCUAUAUUACCCAUAAUAUGUGGAAGUAUCUACGUAAUUUCAUAGAGUCAUUCGGUCUGAAUGCUACAUGAAGAACAUAAGCCAGAGGACAGAACGGGAAGACCCAGGAUGUAGAAAAUCAUAAUAUGAGUGAUUCGGCAGAUUUGGAUUCAUAUAUAUAUCCAUCUAUGUGGUAAUUCAUUCUACGAUAUAUAAGAUCCAUAUGUAUAGAUAUCAUCAUCCACAUCCAGAAAGCCGUAUGUUUUGGAAGAAGCUUGUACAGUUUGGGAAGGGGGUUUUAUUGAUCAAAAGAAGAAUCUACUUCAAUCGAUAUACCCUUAGGCACGGCCAUACAUAACAUAGAAAUCACUCUUGAAAAGGGUGGACAAUUAUCUAAAGCAGUGGGUGUUGUAGCGAAACUGAUUGCAAAAGAGGGGAAAUUGGCCACAUUAAAAAUACCUUUUGGGGAGGUCCGUUUGAUAUCCAAAAACUGCUCAGCAAUAGUCGGACAAGUGGGGAAUGUUGGGGUGAACCAGAAAAGUUUGGAUAGAGCCGAAUCUAAGCAUUGGCUAGAUUAGUGUCCUGUAGUAAGAGGAGUAGUUAUGAACCCUGUAGACCAUCCCCAUGGGGGUGGUAAAGGGAGAGCACCAAUUGGUAGAAAAAAAACCAACAAUCCCUUAGGGUUAUCCUGCACUUGGAAGAAGAAGUAGAAAAAGGAAUAAAUAUAGUGAUAAUUUGAUUCUUCGUCGCCGUAGUAAAUACGAGAGAAAAUCUAAUUUAAUUCUUUGUUUUUACAAAAACUUUACAAAAAAAAAAUAGGAGUAAGCUUGUGACACGUUCACUAAAAAAAAUCCCUUUGUAGCAAUCAUUUAUUAAAAAAACUUGAUAAGCUUAACACAAAAGCAAAAAAAGAAAUAAUAGUAACUUGGUCCCGGGUAUCUACCAUUAUACCCACAAUGAUCGGUCAUACUAUUGCUAUCCAUAAUUGAAAAGAGCAUUUGCUUAUUUAUAUAAUGGAUAAUAUGGUAGGCCACAAAUUGGGAGAAUUGGCACCUACAUUAAAUUUUAGAGGACAUGCAAAAAGCGAUAAUAGAUCUCGUCGUUAACGUUAACAUUAAUUAAAAAAAUUAUAUGCUUAUGAUUCAGUAGGAGGAGGAAAACCUUAUGCUAAAGAAGAAAAAAAUGGAAGUAUAUGCUUUAGGUCAACAUAUAUCUAUGUCUGCUGACAAAGCACGAAGAGUAAUUGAUCAAAUCCGCGGACGUUCCUAUGAGGAAACGCUUAUGAUACUAGAACUCAUGCCCUAUCGAGCAUGUUAUCCCAUUUUGAAAUUGGUUUAUUUUGCGGCAGUAAAUGCUAGUUACAAUAUGGGUUCCAGCGAAACUAAUUUUGUCAUUAGUAAAGCCGAAGUCAAUGGAGGUACUACGGUGAAGAAAUUGAAACCUCGAGCUAGAGGACGUAGUUUUCCGAUAAAAAAAUUGACCUGUCAUAUAACUAUUGUAAUGAAAGAUAUAUCUUUAGAUGAUGAAUAUGUCGAGAUGUAUUCGUUAAAAAAAACGAGAUGUAAAAAAAACUCUACAGCUAUGACGUAUCAUGAUAUGUAUAAUAGUGGGGGAUUAUGGGACAAAAAAUAAAUCCACUUGGUUUCAGACUGGGUACAACCCAAGGUCAUCAUUCCCUUUGGUUUUCAAAACCAAAAAAUUAUUCUGAAGGUUUACAAGAAGAUCAAAAAAUAAGAGAUUGUAUCAAGAAUUAUGUACAAAAGAAUAUGAGAACGUCCUCUGGCGUCGAAGGAAUUGCACGUAUAGAGAUUCAAAAAAGAAUCAAUCUGAUCCAGGUCAUAAUCUUUAUGGGAUUCCCAAAAUUAUUAAUAGAAAGUCGACCGCGCAGAAUUGAAGAAUUACAAAUGACCUUACAAAAAGAAUUUAAUUGUGUAAACCAAAAACUAAACAUUGCUUUGACAAGAAUCUGAAAACCUUACGAAAACCCUAAUAUUCUUGCAGAAUUUAUAGCUAGACAAUUAAAGAAUAGAGUUUCAUUUCAAAAAGCAAUGAAGAAGGCUAUUGAAUUAACAGAACACACUGAUACAAAAGGAAUUCAAAUUCAAAUUGCGGGGCGUAUCGAUGGAAAAUAAAUUGCACAUGUCGAAUGGAUCAGAGAAGGUAGGGUUCCCAUACAAAAGUUUCGAGCUAAAAUUUAUUAUUGCUCUUAUAUAGUUCGAACUAUCUAUGGAGUAUUGGGCAUAAAAAUUUGGAUAUUUCUAGAGGAGGAAUAAUUUUACUACUUGUCUUUCCCUUCUAUCCAAUGAUUGUACAAAACAAGACGAAUUCAUUCUUUUUCUAAUCAAUAAAGGGGAACAUUUCUAAUUCUUAAUUCUAUAAGGUUGACUAAAAAUUCGAUUGACCAUUUGAUAUAAUUGCUAUGCUUAGUGUGUGAUUCGUUGGUUUUUUUAGGGUUGGGAUUAAAAAGACCAGCUUACAUAGUAUGAAUUAAAAGCUAUAGAACUAAUAACCAAACCAUCACUUCGCAUUAUCUGGAUCUAAAGAACCAGUCAAGAUAUGAUAUAUAGGUCAUAUCUUUGUAGCAACUGAAAUCUUUUGAAUAAACAAAAAACAAAAUCUGAUUCUAAGUUGUAAAGCAAAAUAAAGAAAAAAGAUGUGGAUAAAUGGAAGGAUGAGAGAAAGAGAGAAAAAGAAUACCAAUGAUAUAAAAUUCCAAUAUGUAAGGUCUAUGAGUAAUCUCAUGAAAGGCAGUGUAAUAAAGCAUCAAUAUGCAUUCAUACCAUAAUAAAAAGAAUCUUCUUUAUAGAAAUAUAGAAAUAGAACAAAAAAUCAAGAGCUUCGAGCCAAUAAAGACUGAGAAGAUUGACUCAAGAACCAAUUUCAUUCUGAGCUCCAUUGUAGAAUUCGGACCUAACCAUUAAGUCAGAAGUGAUGGGAACGACGGAACUUGUGAAUGCAAAAGAUUCUAUUGAACAAGGAAUCUUAAUGAUUCACUGGUCGGGAUGGCGGAACGAACCAGAGAUUAAUUCAUGUAUUCUGAGAUCUGAGAAAUCACGAGUUAACCCUACAAAUGAAAUAGGGAUUGAAAGAGUAAAUAUUCGCCCGCGAAAACUUUUUUUAUUGAAAAAUUUAGGACAAUACAAUAAAGGACAAAAUAAGGAUUUGGUAUAAUAAUACAAUUUUUUAUAUUUCUAUUUAUAAAACUAAAAAGUUUAGUUAUCUAUUCAAACAAGAUAUAAAAAUUACUAAUAGAUUUAAUGAAAUCUCAAAGAAGCCCACGUUCAAGGUAUUACUCAGUAAAUACAUAUAUAUCUUAACUUAAGAUUGACUCUUCUAGCUUAAUUCAAAUUGAAUUUUUUGGAAUCCUUUUAUUCGCGAGGAGCUGGAUGAGAAGAAACUCUCACGUCCGGUUCUGUAGUAGAGAUGGAAUUCAGAAACAACCAUCAACUAUAACCCCAAAAGAACCAGAUUCCGUAAACAACAUAGAGGAAGAAUGAAGGGAAUAUCUUAUCGAGGUAAUCAUAUUUCUUUCGGUAAAUAUGCUCUUCAAGCACUUGAACCUGCUUGGAUUACAUCUCGACAAAUAGAAGCAGGCCGACGAGCAAUGACACGAAAUGCACGUCGUGGUGGAAAAAUAUGGGUACGUAUAUUUCUAAUCAUAUUUCUUUUGGUAAAUAUGCUCUUCAGGCACUUGAACCUGCUUGGAUUACAUCUCGACAAAUAGAAUCAGGCCGACGAUCAAUGACACAAAAUGCACGUCGUGGUGGAAAAAUAUGGGUACGUAUAUUUCCAGGCAAACCAGUUACACUAAGACCCGUAGAAACACGUAUGGGUUCAGGAAAAGGAUCCCCUGAAUAUUGGGUAGCUGUUGUUAAACCGAGGCAAAUACUUUAUGAAAUAGGUGGAGUAACAAAAAAUAUAGCCAGAAGGGCUAUUUCAGUAGCAGCAUCCAAAAUGCCUGUACGAACUCAAUUCAUUAUUUCGUAAUGUAAUAGACAAAAAUGUUGAAAGGGCUCUUAGAUAUGAAACAAAACCACAUGUUUAUUUUUUCUGGACAAAAAUAUUUCUUUUUUUUCUUCGCCCUUUGCAUUCAAAUAACGGAUUAAAAAAAUCAUUCAACCUCAGACCUAUUUAAAUGUAGUAGAUAAUAGUGGGGCUCGAGAAUUGAUGUGUAUUCGAAUCAUAGGAGCUAGCAAUCAUCGAUAUGCUCAUAUUGGUGACGUUAUUGUUGCUGUGAUCAAAGAAGCAGUACCAAAUAUGCCCCUAGAAAGAUCAGAAGUAGUCAGGGCUGUAAUUAUGCGUACCUGUAAAGAACUCAAACGUGACAAUGGGAUAAUAAUACGAUAUGAUGACAAUGCUGCGGUUGUUAUUGAUCAAGAAGGAAAUCCAAAAGGAACUCGAAUUUUUGGUGCAAUCGCCCGGGAAUUGAGAGAAUUAAAUUUUACUAAAAUAGUUUCAUUAGCUCCCGAGGUAUUAUAAAAUGAAAUUGUGAUCUGUUUCUAGUAGGGUAUUUGAAAGAAAUAGAUUAAUUAGUAGAUUGUGUCUCACGCAUAUAUCUUUAAUAAUUCAUAUCAUAUUCAAAAAUAAAUAAGUAAAAAACACGUUGAUUAUAUCAAAUUUGGAGAACCCAAUAAUUUUAGUUCAUCAUGGGCAGGGACACUAUUGCUGAGAUAAUAACUUCUAUACGAAAUGCUGAUAUGGAUCGAAAAAGGGUGGUUCGGAUAGCAUCUACAAAUAUUACCGAAAAUAUUGUUCAAAUACUUUUACGAGAGGGUUUUAUCGAAAACGUGAGAAAACAUCGAGAAAACAACAAAUAUUUUUUGGUUUUAACCCUGCGACAUAGAAGGAAUAGGAAAAGACCCUAUAGAAAUAUUUUAAAUUUAAAACGAAUAAGUCGACCUGGUCUACGAAUCUAUUCUAAUUAUCAACGAAUUCCGAGAAUUUUAGGUGGAAUGGGUAUUGUAAUUCUUUCUACUUCUCGAGGUAUAAUGACAGACCGAGAGGCUCGACUAGAAGGAAUAGGUGGAGAAAUUUUGUGUUAUAUCUGGUAUUAUUAUUAAAAAUAAUAUAAAUAUAACAAUAUAAUUUUUUAUAAAGGGCGGCUUCUCCUAGGUCGUGUCAAAUUCGCAUCGAAAAAAAGAGAUUUGUCCUCUCCUAUACUCCUAUAAAGAAAUCAAAAAAAUUUUCUUAAAAUCUCGUCUAAUACUAAUAUCUAAUCACUAACUAAUCUAAAAUCUAAUAAAAUAAUAAGUAAUAAAUUAAGCUUCCAUUUCAACACGGAACGGAACAAAGGGGACAAUAUACAGGAUGGGUAGAAAGAGUUGUGCUACUUGGCUUGAUUCAGGGAAACUACAAACUACAGGAUAGAAAAAAAUAUACCAAUCCUAAGAAUCCGUAGGAUUUAUUGUGGAUCCAAGACAACAAUAUUCGAGAUGAGAAAUUUCAAGAAACUUAUUUUCUUCCAAGAAAUAGAUUAAGAAUUAAGGUAAGGAAUGAAAAAUAUGAAAAUAAGAGCUUUCAUUCGUAAAAUUUAUGAAAAUGUCGACUAAUCCGCAGGCGGGGAUGAAUUAUAGUAAUUUGUUCCAACCCGAGAUAUAAACAAAGACAGGGAUAAUCAGACUUGCCAGAAGAGCCGAUGUAUAAAUAAAGAAUCUAUUUUGACAUAAAAUGGAUAUAUCCAUAUAUCUCUGACUCAUAUUUACGAGAUGAUAAAAUAUGGCAAAAGCUAUAUCGAAAAUUAGUUCACGUAGGAAUGGACGUAUUGGUUCACGUAAGGGUGCAUGUAGAAUACCAAAGGGAGUUAUUCAUGUUUAAGAAAGUUUUGAUAAUACCAUUGUCACUGUUAUAGAUGUACGGGGUCAAGUAGUUUCUUGGUCCUCUGCUGGUACUUCUGGAUUUAAAGGUAUGAGAAGAGGAGCACCAUUUGCUGCUCGACCUGGAGCAGCAAACGCUAUCCGUACCGUAGUGGAUCAAGGUAUGAAAUGAGCAGAAGUCAUGAUAAAAGGUCCCAGUCUCGGAAGAGAUACAGUAUUAUAAGCUAUUCGUUGAAGUGGUAUGCUAUUAACUUUCCUACGGGAUGUAACUCCUAUGCCACAUAAUGGCUGUAGACCUCCGAAAAAAAGACGUGUGUAGAGCUGAACAUUGAAGAAAUCUCAAGAGAAAUAAAAGAUUCGAUGAUCUAAUCAAAUAAUAGUACUAGAGUUUGAGAGAAAGUAACAUUAUCUACUCGGACACUACAGUGGAAGUGUGUUGAAUCAAGAACAGACAGUAAACGCCUUUAUUAUGGAAACUUUAUUCUGUCUCCACAUAUGAAAGGCCAAGCCAACACAAUAGGCAUUGCAAUGCGAAGAUCUUUACUUGGAGAAAUAGAAGGAACAUGUAUCACACGUGUAAAAUCUGAGAAAGUCCCACAUGAAUAUUCUACCAUAAUGGGCAUUCAAGAAUCGGUACAUGAAAUUUUAAUGAAUUUGAAAGAAAUUGUAUUGAGAAGUAAUCUAUAUGGAACUUCUGACGCGUCUAUUUGUGUCAAGGGUCCUGGAUAUGUAACUGCUCAAGAUAUCAUCUUGCCGCCUUAUGUAGAAACCGUUGAUAAUACACAACAUAUAGCUAGUUUAACAGAACCAAUUGAUUUUUGUAUUGGAUUACAAAUAGAGAGAAAUCGUGGAUAUCUUAUAAAAACGCCACAUAACUUUCAAGAUGGAAGUUAUCCUAUAGAUGCUGUAUUCAUGCCUGUUCGAAACGCGAAUCAUAGUAUUCAUUCUUAUGGGAAUGGAAAUGAAAAACAAGAGAUACUUUUUAUCGAAAUAUGGACAAACAGAAGUUUAACUCCGAAAGAAUCACUUCAUGAAGCAUCCCAAAAUUUAAUUGAUUUAUUUAUUCUCUUUUUACAUUUGGAGGAAGGCAAUUUAUAUUUAUAGGACAAUCAACACACGGUUUAUUUAUCCCCUUUUAUCUUUCAUGACAAAUUGGCUAAACUCAUAAAACACAAAAAAAAAUAGCAUUGAAAUUAAUUUUUAUUGACCAAUCAGAAUUGCUUUCCAGGAUCUAUAAUUGCCUCAAAAUAUCCAAUAUAUAUAUACAUUAUUGGACCUUUUGAAUAACAGCCAAGAAGAUCUUAUAAAAAUUGAACAUUUUCCUAACGAAGAUAUAAAAUAGAUAUUGGGCACUUUAGGAAAAUAUUUCGUAAUUGAUUUAGCAAAAAAUAACUUUUAAAUCUAUUGGACUUAUUUAGUAAAAAUAGAUUGAAAUCUUUAGCACAAUUGAUAUAUCAUAUAUUAGAAAUAAAUUCAGAAUUAAAUUGACUAGAUGUAACUAGGGAGAAUUCGCUUUGAAGAAACUAUUCCCUAGAUACACAUGUCGUGUUAUUUCACAAUUGAAUCAAUUAAAAAUAAAAAAUUUAAAAAAGACCUAAAGUUAGGGAUUUAUCAAUAGGUAAUGUUGCACCAAUGCCCAACCAAAGGGCGACUGCGGUACCAAUCAAAAAGACAGUCGUCGCUACUGGACGGCGAAAUGGAUUUUGGAAUUUAUUAACAUUCUCUAAAAAAGGUACUAUUAAUAAUCCCGCAGGUACUGAAACCAUUAAAAGAACCCCCAACAAUUUAUUGGGCACUGUACGAAGUAUUUGAAAUACAGGAAAGAAAUACCAUUCAGGUAAGAUUUCCAAAGGGGUUGCAAAUGGAUCUGCCGGUUCACCAAUCAUUGAUGGUUCUAAAACGGCUAAGCCUACAUUACAUGCAAUAGUACCUAGAAUUACUACUGGAAAAAUAUAUAAAAGAUCAUUGGGCCAUGCGGGCUCUCCAUAAUAAUUAUGACCCAUACCUUUAGCCAAUUUAGCUCUUAAUACAGGAUCAUUCAAGUCAGGUUUUUUUGUUAUUGGGAUAGGUGAAUUCUUAUAGAUCCAUCCCCCGAGGGAACUGGACAUGAUAAUUUUUAAUCAUCCAGCUCGAGCAAGAAUAAAAAGAACCAAAUGAAUCCAUAUAUCCAUAUAAAAUAUAUAUAUGGUACCUGUCUUUACACAUCCACAUAUAUGAUAGAGGAAUGGUUCAAUGUAAGAAAAAUUUGACUGAAUUCUUUUUUAUGGAAUUGCAACUAUCCAUUACAAAACAAAGAAUUCCGUUCUUACAAGUAAAUACUCAAGACCCGAGUAGGCUUACAAAUCAGAUCAUGAUAUGAUCAAGUGCUUUCUGGGUCGUCUCAGACCUUCUAAUUGGUAUUUAUCUCCAAAAUGCUUGGAGAUACACAUACAAGGUUUGCUUGUUACUAAUAUAGUCUAGCCUCUCUUCUUCUUUAGAUCCCUUGUUUCACUCCGAUAGUAGUAUUGAUCGUGUCAAUGCAGAGGAAAUGAAUACAUUUACAUACUAUUAAAUCUUAUAAGUGAACUAGAUAAAACGGAAUCUUGAUUCCGUUUUAUCUAGUUCACUUAUACUGGACCUUACGGAGCCUGCUCAUGUACAACAUGAUUCGGACCUGAUCAUAGAAAAGAUUCCCUUUAAGCGAACCAGCCUAUCCUCUGUAUAGGGCUUACACGGCGAUUGGAACAAAGACACAUUUGGUUGUGAAUUCCCAUGUGGCAGGCAUAUAUCUACACAGACCAAUCAAUAAUUCAAGUCACACACUCCCAUAAUCCAUUUUCUCUUCACAAAAUUCCCUUCAAUCCCCCCAUUUAGUUGACAUGAAUAGUUAAAGGGAAAUAUCCAAAUCCAUGUCUUAUUAUUUUCAAUAAGCCAUUCUUGUAACAAUGAAAUACUAUAUAUUCCUCCACCAAGUGAUAAGUGAUUGAUUACAAAUAUUUAGGAUAUUUUUUUUUUGCUCUAUCUAUAAAGGCCCAGAAAUACCCUGUUUACGUAUCACUGGAAAGUGCAUUAACAUAAAUACGGCAGCAAGAAGUGGCAAUACAAAAGUGUGUAAACUAUUAAAAUGAGUCAAAGUAGAUUGUCCCACACUAGCGGUUUCGCUCAAUAAUUUGACCAAAGGUGAUCCUAUUAUAGGAAUAGCGUUAGGGACACCUGUUACUAUUUUCACUGCCCAAUAACCAAUUUGGUCCCAAGGUUAGGAAUAACCAGUUACGCCAAAAGAUGCGGUUAAUACAGCCAGAACCACACCUGUAGCCCAAGUCAAUUCGCGAGGGUUUUUAAAUCCGCCAGAAUGAGAUAUACACGAAAUACAUGCAGGAGCAUCAUUAGGACUAUUAUACUUGCCGACCAUCAAUGAACUGAUCGGAUUAACCAACCAAAGUUGGCUUCAGUCAUUAUGUAUUAAACAGAAGCAAAAGCCUCAGUAAUGGUCAGCCGGUAGUAAAAUGUUAUAGCAAACCCAGUAGCUACUUAUACUAAAAAAUAAGUAAGCGUAAUUCCCCCUAAACAAUAAAAUAUAUUGAUGUGGUAGGGAACGUAUUUACUAGUUAUAUCAUCCACAAUCGUUGGAAUCUCGAGACGUUCUUCGAACCAAUCAUAUACUUUAUUGAUAUAGGCGGAACUCCCCCUUGAGAAACGUAUAUGAGACUUUCAUCUCAUACAGGUCAAGCAAAAACACCCAAAUACUAGUUGUAACGGAUAUGGAAUAGAAAGUUUUAAAGUUAUUAAGUUCUAAUCCCAUCUUCUCUGGAAAAUCCAAAAGCUCUUCUUUGUGGCGAUAAUACCAAAAUAUCAAGUUGGCGCAGUCGUCUUUAUCUUUAUUUUGAUACUUAUGGGCCUCUUGAAUUCUCUUUUUCCCUAUUUCUUUCUAGAAUUUGUUUUUGUGGAAUAUGUCUUUUAUUCUUUGUUUUCUUUAUUAUUGAUAGGAAUUCUCUUGUUAAGACCCUAUGAAUCGAUUAAAACCUCAGAUUCAUACUAGAACCAUGAUGAUUCAAUAAAAAAGACCUAACCUAAAUCAAAUCAAGAAUUCUCUGAGUAAGAAUCCUCGGAUCAUCACUUAUUCCUUGAAUAAAUAGAAUGACUAAAAAUUCAAAGAAACAUUUUGCUUUUGGUCAAAAUAUAAAUUAGGGGUUGAAAGAAAGGAAUCUUUCGAUUUAGAAAUUCGAAUUCUUUGUUUGAAAAUUUUUUGGAGCCUGGACACGGGGUCUGAAUAUUAAGUAUGAAUCAUAGUUCAAAUAUUUCUUAAUCUAUUUCGUGUUCCAAAUAGUAGAAUAAAUAUCUGACGAAGUAGAAUCAUCUCUAUCAAGAUGACAGACUCAUUCUCUGUACUAUCAAUAGGAUCAAUUAUAACAAGUCAGACACUCAUACUCCAGAAAUAUAGAAACAAUGAAAUUCUACGAUCGAACUACCAAAACAAAAUAGAAUGUACUAUAAAUCGGAGCUCUAAAUGAUUCAUUUUGGACUCAAAAGUAAGGACUUUGCGGUUUUUAUAGAUUUAAUUCAUUGAAAUUCCAUCCAAUAAAAUGGAAGAAUUAUAAAUCUCCAAAAUAAUAGAUAGAAAUACCGCAAAUAAGGCCAUUGCGACACCCAUCAAUGGAGUAGUUCCCCACCCAGGAGCUACUUCACCAUAUUCUGAAUUCAAUGGUUUUAAUAAAUCUCCUACUACAGUUCGUCUUAGACCAUAUUUAGAACUGUUCUCAAUAGUUUGUGUAGCGAUAAAUCCUAUUGUAUUCAUUGAGAUCUAUUGACUUUGUAUACCAUUCCGUUGUAAAUAAACGAUCCUAUCAUUGAUCCAUUGGGGUCUUGAUAUUAUAUAAAUAUGAUAAGAAUAGAAACAGCAACCCUAGUCGCCACUUUAAUAUCUGGUUUACUUAUAAGUUUUACUGGGUAUGCCUUAUAUACCGCUUUUGGGCAACCUUCUCAACAACUAAGAGAUCCAUUCGAGGAACAUGGAGACUAGUUGAAGUACUGAGCCUCCCGAUAUCGGGAGGCUCAGUACUUCAACUGAGAUAAUGAAAAAUUAUUUCACCUUUUUAGUUCUUUUUAGUUGGAACUUUAGCCGGUUCUUAAAAAAAUAUAGCGAAAAAAAUUAUCCCUAGAGUCGAGACUAAGAGGAAUGUAUAAACCAAUUCUUCCAUAGAUUCGAUCGUGGUUUACAAUUAUAGCUUUCAUACUUGUUUGUUUCUUUUUAUUUUCUUUUUUUAUCAUCUUCCAGAUAAAGAACUAACAAGAGUAAAAACAAAGUUGAUUCAAAUAAAGAUUUCUCUGGUACCCUUUGUCAAUAAAAGUAAAAGAAAGAAAAUAAGGGUAAAAGAAAGAAACCAAAGCAAUGCUGUAUCAGGCUGCCUGUCUUUUUGUAGUUGGAUCUCCAAGUUUUAGGAAUACCCCAAAUUCAACUUGAGCAUCUAAAUUUGGGUCAAUACCAGCAAAAAUAUCUCUGAACAAGGUUCUAUCACCAUGCCAAAUAUGUCCGAAGAAGAAGAGCAAAGCAAAUGAAGCAUGCCCAUAAGUGAACCAACCCCUUGGACUGCUAUGAAAAACACCAUCGGAUUUCAAAGUAGCACGAUCUAAUUCAAAAAUUUCACCCAAUUGAUCACGUCUAGCAUAUUUUUUCACAGUAGCAGGAUCACUAUAACUGAAGCCGUUGAGUUAACUGCCGUAGAACUCAACAGUUACACCUACUUGUUCAACACUAUAAUUUGAUUCUGCCCUUCUAAAAGGAACAUCAGCCCUAACAAUUCCAUUGCCGUCUACUAAAAUGACCGGAAAUGUUUCUGAAAAAGUAGGCAUACGACGUACAAAAAGUUCAUGCCCUUUUUUAUCUCUAAAGAUAGGGUGUCCUAACCAUCCAACCGCUAUUCCAUCCCCAUUAUCGAUUGAACCUGCUUUAAAUAAUCCUCUUUUCACUGGAUUAUUGCCGAUGUAAUCAUAAAAAGGUAAUUUUUUAGGAAUUUUAGACUAGGCUUCUGAUAAACUUUGAUUUUCUGCUAGCCUAGCACUAACUCUUUGAUAUAUUUCUUGCUGGAAGUACCCCUGAUCCCAUUGAUAAUGAGUGGGCCCAAAUAAUUCAAUCGAGGUAGUUGUCGAACCAUACCACAUAGUUUCAGCAACAACAAAAGCUGCAAAAAAGACAGCAUCAAUUCUACUGGAAAGGACGGUUUCAAUAUUUCCCAUACGCAAUCCUUUGUGUAGACAUUGUGGUGGAUGGAUGCUAAGAUGGAAUAGGUACGCUAAUAUGCCCAAUGUUCCUGCUGCAAUAUGAUGAGAGGCUAUUCCUCAUGGAACAAAAGGAUCAAAACUUUCUACGCCCUACGCUGGAAUUACAGGUUGUACUUUUCUCGUUAGUCCAUAAGGAUUGGACACCCAUAUUCUGGGACUAUAUAAGCCUGUUACAUAAAAUGCACCAAAACCAAAGCAAGCUACCCCUAAGAGAAAUAAAUGAAUUCCAAAGAUCUUUGGCAAAUCCAAAGAGGGUUUUUCUGUACGUUCAUCACAAAAUAUUUCUAGAUCCCACUACACCCAAUGCCAGAUAGCUGCCAAAAAGCAUAAGCCAGAAAACACAAUAUGUGCUCCCGCUACACCUUCAUAACUCCAAAUACCUGGAUUCGUUACAGUCUCCCCUGUGAUACUCCAACUGCCCCAUAAAUUGGUUAUUUCUAAACGAGUCAUGAAGGGUAUAACGAACAUACCCUAUCUCCACAUUAGAUUAAGAACAGGAUCAGAAGGAUUAAAAAAUGCUAAUUCAUACAGAGCCCUCGAAUCGGCUCAACCAGCAACUAGAGCAGUAUGCAUUAUAUGAACAGAAAACAACCGACUAGGAUCAUUCAAUACAAUGGUAUGAACACGAUACCAAGGAUAACCCAUGGAAAUACCCCUUAUAUCAAAGAUAAAUGGACACUACUUAACUUUAUUACAUUGGAAAAGACUAUAAUAUGACUAUCCUAUGGACCACUCUUGUUCAGUCAAUUAUUUCCGAAUCAAGGGUGUUCUAUUCUGGUAGUAAUAAUGGAACAAUUCUUUUUGUAGGAACAAGGAGAAGUAGAUUUAUUCUAUACUCAAUAAGUACCAAUACGCAAUGGGGGAGUUGAUCUCAUUUUCUAUGAGCGAAUGAGUCCAUACUUAUUUAUCAUUAGAAAGACCUAUUCGUAAUAAUUUGAGUUUAUUCAUUCUGUCUUUCUUUAUGAAUUUUUAGAAUCUAUGGAUAAAAUAAAUACGAUAAGAACCAAUAUGAAUAUUCUAAAGACAAUAAAAAAAUUGUUACGUUUCCACCUCAAAGUGAAAUAUAGUAUUUAGUUCUUUCUUUCAUUUAAUGCCUAUUGGUGUUCCGAAAGUUCCCUUCCGAGGUCCUGGAGAGGCAAAUCCACUUUGGGUUGACGUAUAGUGCGACUUGUCAGAUAUAUUGGGUCAUAUGGUAUUUCCCCGUUCUCUCCCCCGAUCGAGAUAUCCCCCGUUUCGCCCAAGAACGAUAAAACGAUAAAUUGAAUCAUCAAAAAUUUGGAGCGUGAAGUGCAAUUAGAUCCAUUUUUGAGGGGAUUCAUAUUACUAUUAUCAAUUAGAAUAAUUUAUGGUUGGCUUGGUUGGACUAAAAAAAUGAAGUAUCCAGGCUCCGUUUAGAAAAAACCCAAUUGGAUUGGUAAGAUAUCUAUGAUUGCUAUUCAUAUUUUUUCUUUGUAAUUUGUAAAGAGAUCCUAAUUGUCAAGCAAAGUUAUCUCAACUCUAAUAAAUACUUGUAUAAAAUGAAUUGAAAAAAAAAGAAAUACAAAAAGAAAUGGUAAUGGGAGCAUUUGUCCUAUAUGUACAAAUCCAAAUCGUGUGGAUCUUUACACGGAGUAGAGCAUAAACCUGAAAAAAUGAAACAGACCCAUUCAGGAACAAGAAAAUAACAUCGCAGUUUGGAUUAAAUCUCGAUGAAAGAAUACAUCAAUGAGAAGUUAAUUUGAUAAGUUUAAUGACCCUUUCUUAUAACUUCUAAUUUUAUACUGGAAAAUCAAAAAUAGGAGUAUAAAAAAGGAGUCAAAACUCCUCUUUAUUGAAAAAUUGAAGAAAAGCCCUUUCGUUAGAAGUAAGAAAUAACCUUUCUAGAAAAAAGAAAGAUGAAUGGAAUCUAUACAUUGAGUCACAAUUUUUUUGAACCGUAUGCAUCAAAAGGUGCAUGUACGGUUCCUAAGGAAUACAAUUUUACCCUAAUCAACCGACUUUAUUGAGAAAGAUUACUUUUUUUAGGCCAAGGUAGGAAUAGCGAGAUUUCGAAUCAACUUAUUGGUCUUAUGGUAUAUCUCAGUAUUGAGGAUGAGACCAAAGAACUGUAUUUAUUUAUAAACUCUCCUAGGGGCUGUGUAAUACCUGGGGUGGCUAUUUAUGAUACUAUACAAUUUGUGCAACCAGAUGUCAAUACAGUAUGCAUAGGAUUAGCCGCUUCAAUGGGAUCUUUUAUCCUGGUCGGAGGAGAAAUUACCAAACGUCUAGCAUUCCCUUACGCUUGGCGUCAAUAAGGUUUUUAUUUGAGAGAAAAAACAAGACUAUGCCUUCUCCAUAUGAAUACUAAGUAAUAAUAGCAUGGAAUUUCGAAUUUGAUGUGAGAAAUUUUGUAUUGUUUUUUUUUUUUCAAAACAUUAGAUUCUGUAUCGAGAGAGUAGUAUGAGAUAAGGGGUAUUUCCAAUUUUCUCUUAUCUAUUGGGACUUCGGUUCAACGUCACAAACUUUUUAGUUUUCAUACCGUAGAGUUCUUAACAAUAUUUAUGUUCUGAAAGAGUACGAAAAAAAAAUAUUUUUUCCUUAUUUGAUCGGAUUAAAAAGAAACUUUGGGAUUGCUGAAUCACAGACAAAAAAAAGAAAAAAAAACAUAUAAACCAACGGAGCCAUCAUAGUAUUUUUUAACUCCUCCGAAAGGAAGGAUGGCAAUUUGAUUAUUUACCCAUUGGAGUCUGAUAGAUUCUAUUUUUCUCUUUCUUCAAUAGAAAGGAGGGGAGUCAAUUUUCUUUUAGAGACGUAUGCACAAAAGAUGCCUGUACAGUUUCUCAAUUCUAUAUUUUUUCUAUUCUUUAUCUUUCUUUUCUCUUCUCUUUAUCAUGUGAGAUAGGAGAAGAUUUUAUUUUGUUAUAUCAUUAGGAUAAUGAUGUAUCAACCUGCUAGUUGUUUUUAUAUGGCACAAGUAACCGAAUGUGUCGUGGAAGCGGAAGAACUACUGAAACUGCGUGAAACCUUCACAGGGGUUUAUGUACAACGAACGGGCAAACCCUUCUGGGUUGUAUCCGAAGAUAUGGAAAGAGAUGUUUUUAUGUCAGCAACAGAAGCACAAGCUUAUGGAAUUGUUGAUCUUGUAGCGAUUCAAUGAAAAUAACAUGGAUUUCGCGCAAAUCACAGAUUUGCGAUUUUAUCUUCGAAUUGAAUAUUCUAUUAAAUUGAAUAUUCUAUUAAAUAGAAGUAAUUCAUCAUCAUUCGGUUAGGAUCAAUCUAAACCAACCCAUCAUAUUAUGUAUACGAUUCAACAUGCCAACUAUUAAACAACUUAUUAGAAAUACAAGACAGCCAAUCAGAAAUGUCACGAAAUCCCCCGCUCUUCGGGGGUGCCCUCAGCGUCGAGGAACAUGUACUAGGGUGUAUGUGCGACUCGUUUAGAUCAUGAGCUGGCACAAAAGAAAGAAAACGACUUUUACAGUAUCAAUGAUCAGUACCGGUGAAUGGGAUAGGAUGGAAAAAGGAACUCCAUUCAUUAUUAAAAAAAAACUCUAUCAUAUCCCUCUAUUGUGUAUGAAGUUUAUGGUUUCCGUUGGUGUAAAUCCAAUCAAGAUGAUAAGAAACUCUCCAUUGGUAACAAAUGGUUAUCCAUUAAGUGGAGGAAAUCUUAUUUUAAAAGCAUAAAACAUAAAGAUUAGUUAGGCUCCCAAUCUGGCAAGAACGGACUAAAAGGGUCAGCUACCCAGCCAACUUUCAUAAUUAAAUACCGUUACUGUAUAGGUAGAUCUGACAGUGAAUGACCUAUUAUUGGAUAAUUCAUGGGUAGAGCCAAAGCGUGUGAACUAUACAAGUUGCCAAUAACAUCAAUUAGUUGAUUAAAUAUAUAUUAAAUUAAAGUCUAAAGUAAAGGCUCCGGUGUAUAGAGAAGACCUCACCGUUUAAGAAGUAACCAUAGAAACGAAGUUACCCACUAUUUCUUUUUUUUAUUUCUUUUAUUUUAUUUUUGAUACCUAGGAAAAUACAAUUUCUUAUUUCUUUCUUAUUUCGCAGUGAAAUACCUAAAAAAAAAAAAAAUAACAAAAUCGUGGUCGGGAAGGUUAGAGUAUCCAAAGCCAUUGGAAUUUUUAUUUUAUACAAUGGAAAAAUCCGUUUUGUUAUUAAUAGACUAGGAAGGGGGAAAGGAAUAACUGAAAGAAAGGUAAUCAAUUAAUAAUUUGUCAAAUUUUCAUUUAUUCAAUAACCAGAAUUAAACGGGGAUAUAUAGCUCGGAGAUGUAGAAAAAAAAUUCAUUUAUUUACAUCAAGCUUUCGAGGGGCUCAUUCAAGGCUUACUAGAAUUAUUACUCAACAGAAAAUAAGAGCUUUAGUUUUGGCUCAUCGGGAUAGGGGUAGGAAAAAGAGAGAUUUUUGUCGUUUGUGGACCACUCGGAUAAACGCAACAAUUCGCAAAGGGGGAGUCUCCCAUAGUUAUAGUAAAUUAAUAUACAAUCUG